AGCCAUGCCGCGUGUGUGAAGAAGGCCUUUUGGUUGUAAAGCACUUUAAGCGAGGAGGAGGCUACUUGGAUUAAUACUCUAGGAUAGUGGACGUUACUCGCAGAAUAAGCACCGGCUAACUCUGUGCCAGCAGCCGCGGUAAUACAGAGGGUGCGAGCGUUAAUCGGAUUUACUGGGCGUAAAGCGUGCGUAGGCGGCUUUUUAAGUCGGAUGUGAAAUCCCUGAGCUUAACUUAGGAAUUGCAUUCGAUACUGGGAAGCUAGAGUAUGGGAGAGGAUGGUAGAAUUCCAGGUGUAGCGGUGAAAUGCGUAGAGAUCUGGAGGAAUACCGAUGGCGAAGGCAGCCAUCUGGCCUAAUACUGACGCUGAGGUACGAAAGCAUGGGGAGCAAACAGGAUUAGAUACCCUGGUAGUCCAUGCCGUAACGAUGUCUACUAGCCGUUGGGGCCUUUGAGGCUUUAUGGGCAGCUAACGCGAUAAGUAGACGCCUGGGGAGUACGGUCGCAAGACUAAAACUCAAAUGAAUUGACGGGGGCCCGCACAAGCGGUGGACAUGUGGUUUAAUUCGAUGCACGCGAAAACCUUACCUGGUCUUGACAUAGUAAGAACUUUCCAGAGAUGGAUUGGUGCCUUCGGGAACUUACAUACAGGUGCUGCAUGGCUGUCGUCAGCUCGUGUCGUGAGAUGUUGGGUUAAGUCCCGCAACGAGCGCAACCCUUUUCCUUAUUUGCCAGCGGGUUAAGCCGGGAACUUUAAGGAUACUGCCAGUGACAACUGGAGGAAGGCGGGGACGACGUCAAGUCAUCAUGGCCCUUACGACCAGGGCUACACACGUGCUACAAUGGUCGGUACAAGGGUGCUACCUAGCGAUAGGAUGCUAUCCUCAAAAGCCGAUCGUAUCCGGAUGGAGUCUGCACUCGACUCAUGAAGUCAGAAUCGCUAGUAUCGCAGAUCAGAAUGCGCGGUGAAUACGUUCCGGGCCUUGUACCCCCGCCGUCCACCAUGGAAUUGUGCACAAGUAGUAUCUACCGCAAGGAGACCUACACGGUGCGAUAUGGGGACC
rnacentral:rRNA from 1 species